GUUGCUGAGCGUGCCAUCGAAAAUGAUGCAUCCGCUAAUGUAAAUG
rnacentral:tRNA from 1 species